CCAUGUCUUCUAGAUUCCUUCUGAUAGUCGACUCUUAGUCCUAAUUUCAAUCUUUCACUUUUUAUAUAAAUCUUCUCACACUCAUAUUCUUCAUACACAUUCAUUUCAUUCACUCAUACCUUUCUUAUUCAUCUAAUUCGUCCCUAUCAUUCAACAAAUCUUCUUCUAUCCUUCUCCUUCAUUCACACUCAUAUUUUUCACUCAUACCCAUCUCCUUUAUUCACGUGCAUUUCCUUCAUCCACACUGAUCUCUUUCAUCCUCACAAUUUCAUUUAUCCACACAUUUCAACUCAUUCUUCUUUUUCUUUCAUGUUCAUCUCCUUCCUCCAUUCUAACUUUCUAUUUG
rnacentral:lncRNA from 1 species